rnacentral:rRNA from 1 species
UACGUAGGGGGCAAGCGUUAUCCGGAUUUACUGGGUGUAAAGGGAGCGUAGACGGCUGUGCAAGCCAGAUGUGAAAGCCCGGGGCUCAACCCCGGGACUGCAUUUGGAACUGUGUAGCUGGAGUGUCGGAGAGGCAGGCGGAAUUCCUAGUGUGGCGGUGAAAUGCGUAGAUAUUAGGAGGAACACCAGUGGCGAAGGCGGCCUGCUGGACGAUGACUGAUGUUGAGGCUCGAAAGCGUGGGGAGCAAACAGG